rnacentral:rRNA from 1 species
GACGAACGCUGGCGGCGUGCUUAACACAUGCAAGUCGAACGAAGUGGCGAACGGGUGAGUAACGCGUAAUCCACCUGCCCUUCAGAGGGGGACAACAGUUGGAAACGACUGCUCAUACCGCAUACUGAAGGAGGGGAUUGCGUCUGAUUGGCUAGUUGGAGGGGUAACGGCCCACCAAGGCGAUGAUCAGUAGACGGUCUGAGAGGAUGAACGGCCACAUGGGGAAGGAGACACGGCCCAGACUCCUACGGGAGGCAGCAGUGGGGAAUCUUCCGAAAUGGAGGAAAGUCUGACGGAGCAACGCCGCGUGAGGGAUGACGGCCUUCGGGUUGUAAAGCUCUGUUAAUCGGGACGCGGUACCGGAAGAGAAAGCCACGGCUAACUACGUGCCAGCAGCCGCGGUAAUAC